rnacentral:rRNA from 1 species
GAUGAACGCUAGCUACAGGCUUAACACAUGCAAGUCGAGGGGCAGCGGUAUCGAAAGCUUGCUUUCGGUAGCCGGCGACCGGCGCACGGGUGAGUAACGCGUAUCGAACCUGCCUCAUACUCGGGAAUAGCCUUGCGAAAGUAAGAUUAAUGCCCGGUGUUUUCAGAGUCCCGCAUGAGGCUUUGAACAAAGAUUUAUCGGUAUGAGAUGGCGAUGCGUCCCAUUAGCUUGUUGGCGGGGUAACGGCCCACCAAGGCAUCGAUGGGUAGGGGUUCUGAGAGGAAGGUCCCCCACAUUGGAACUGAGACACGGUCCAAACUCCUACGGGAGGCAGCAGUGAGGAAUAUUGGUCAAUGGGCGGAAGCCUGAACCAGCCAAGUAGCGUGCAGGAAGACGGCCCUCCGGGUUGUAAACUGCUUUUAGUUGGGAAUAAAACGGGGCUCGUGAGCCCCCUUGCAUGUACCAUCAGAAAAAGGACCGGCUAAUUCCGU